GAUGAACGCUGGCGGCGUGCCUAAUACAUGCAAGUCGAGCGAACGGACGAGAAGCUUGCUUCUCUGAUGUUAGCGGCGGACGGGUGAGUAACACGUGGAUAACCUACCUAUAAGACUGGGAUAACUUCGGGAAACCGGAGCUAAUACCGGAUAAUAUUUUGAACCGCAUGGUUCAAAAGUGAAAGACGGUCUUGCUGUCACUUAUAGAUGGAUCCGCGCUGCAUUAGCUAGUUGGUAAGGUAACGGCUUACCAAGGCAACGAUGCAUAGCCGACCUGAGAGGGUGAUCGGCCACACUGGAACUGAGACACGGUCCAGACUCCUACGGGAGGCAGCAGUAGGGAAUCUUCCGCAGUGGGCGAAAGCCUGACGGAGCAACGCCGCGUGAGUGAUGAGGGUCUUCGGAUCGUAAAACUCUGUUAUUAGGGAAGAAUAUAUGUGUAAGUAACUGUGCACAUCUUGACGGUACCUAAUCAGAAAGCCACGGCUAACUACGUGCCAGCAGCCGCGGUAAUACGUAGGUGGCAAGCGUUAUCCGGAAUUAUUGGGCGUAAAGCGCGCGUAGGCGGUUUUUUAAGUCUGAUGUGAAAGCCCACGGCUCAACCGUGGAGGGUCAUUGGAAACUGGAAAACUUGAGUGCAGAAGAGGAAAGUGGAAUUCCAUGUGUAGCGGUGAAAUGCGCAGAGAUAUGGAGGAACACCAGUGGCGAAGGCGACUUUCUGGUCUGUAACUGACGCUGAUGUGCGAAAGCGUGGGGAUCAAACAGGAUUAGAUACCCUGGUAGUCCACGCCGUAAACGAUGAGUGCUAAGUGUUAGGGGGUUUCCGCCCCUUAGUGCCGCAGCUAACGCAUUAAGCACUCCGCCUGGGGAGUACGACCGCAAGGUUGAAACUCAAAGGAAUUGACGGGGACCCGCACAAGCGGUGGAGCAUGUGGUUUAAUUCGAAGCAACGCGAAGAACCUUACCAAAUCUUGACAUCCUUUGACAACUCUAGAGAUAGAGCCUUCCCCUUCGGGGGACAAAGUGACAGGUGGUGCAUGGUUGUCGUCAGCUCGUGUCGUGAGAUGUUGGGUUAAGUCCCGCAACGAGCGCAACCCUUAAGCUUAGUUGCCAUCAUUAAGUUGGGCACUCUAAGUUGACUGCCGGUGACAAACCGGAGGAAGGUGGGGAUGACGUCAAAUCAUCAUGCCCCUUAUGAUUUGGGCUACACACGUGCUACAAUGGACAAUACAAAGGGCAGCGAAACCGCGAGGUCAAGCAAAUCCCAUAAAGUUGUUCUCAGUUCGGAUUGUAGUCUGCAACUCGACUACAUGAAGCUGGAAUCGCUAGUAAUCGUAGAUCAGCAUGCUACGGUGAAUACGUUCCCGGGUCU
rnacentral:rRNA from 1 species